rnacentral:rRNA from 1 species
GAUGAACGCUGGCGGCGUGCCUAAUACGUGCAAGUCGAGCGAACAGACGAGGAGCUUGCUCCUCUGACGUUAGCGGCGGACGGGUGAGUAACACGUGGAUAACCUACCUAUAAGACUGGGAUAACUUCGGGAAACCGGAGCUAAUACCGGAUAAUAUAUUGAACCGCACGGUUCAAUAGUGAAAGACGGUUUUGCUGUCACUUAUAGAUGGAUCCGCGCCGCAUUAGCUAGUUGGUAAGGUAACGGCUUACCAAGGCAACGAUGCGUAGCCGACCUGAGAGGGUGAUCGGCCACACUGGAACUGAGACACGGUCCAGACUCCUACGGGAGGCAGCAGUAGGGAAUCUUCCGCAAUGGGCGAAAGCCUGACGGAGCAACGCCGCGUGAGUGAUGAAGGUCUUCGGAUCGUAAAACUCUGUUAUUAGGGAAGAACAAAUGUGUAAGUAACUAUGCACGUCUUGACGGUACCUAAUCAGAAAGCCACGGCUAACUACGUG